CUGGACUGUUGUUGUAUUCUUGUCAGUCCAUCUUGGGAGUCGAGGGUGUUGUAUGUCAUCACAAGAAAAUCCGUGCUUAUGCCCUCAUCUUAUUGGCAGAGUAUGGUAAUUGGUCAGCUUUGAUAACAUUGUGAUCAAUGGGCAUCAAUGCCCUUUCUCAUUUAAGGCAGUCCAUAUUGGAUGGCUCCAGAGGUUAUAAAAAGUUCAAAUGGUGGAUGCAAUCUUGCGGUUGACAUUUGAAGUUUAGGAUGCACUGUCCUGGGGAUGGCUACCUCAAAAUCCCCAUGGAACAAAUAUGAAGGGAUUGCUGCAAUGUUCAAGAUUGGAAAUAGCAAGGAGCUUGCACCAAUACCAGAUCACCUCUCAGAGCAGGGUGAGGACUUCAUCAGAAAGUGUCUGCAACGUGAUCCGUGUCAAUGCCCCUCGGCAAUUGAGCGUUUGCAACACCCGUUCAUACAAAUUAGAGUCCCACUUGAGAAAUCUGUUAUUUCUAUUCCUUGGAAAUCUAGCUGUUAUAUCUUGUAGACCGAAUUCCAAGGUGGUUGCGCAUACAAGAAAUAUCUCGUCAUUGGGAUUGGAGGGUCAGACGAUUUAACAGAGAAGGGGCGCAAAAUUUUCUUCGAAACAUAGGCUAAACGGGCGCCUGGCAGGGUAACUGGGAGGUUUGCCGCUGCUUUGGCCAUUCAGUAGCUGAAACUGUUAUGGGAACUAUAUCUGUUGGCAAGGAGCCAAGGAGCUUGCAAAGUAUUUUUGAAUACUGUGCAUCAAACUAAUCGGACGAAACUCAUUGGCCCUUUUCUGGCACCAGACUUCUUAGGCAGCAGGACUAUAUGAGCAGAAUUCAGUAGCCCCCAGAGGUUAGCAUUCAGACUAUGGGCCUUGUUGAGAGCAGCCAGUAGAUCACCAUUCACCAUCUCCCAGCAGGCCUUGAAGAAGCACAUCGUGUAACCAUCCGGACCUGGAGAUUUCUCACCGGCAUGCCCAUAACAGCGUCUUUCAGUUUUGCUUCUGAGAAGGGUUCAUCGAGUUGUCCAAGGUCUACCCUAGGCAAAUUAAUGAAGUCCCAAUUCAAGGCUGCCGUUCUGCCAGUGUUGCUGCCCAGACCUGGCACAAAGUGAUCCAGCAGAAUUUUCUCUUUGGCCUGGUGAACCCGCACUAAACCAUCAGGACCCCAAAGCUCUGAAUUGUGGUUCUUCUGUCUUCGACCGUUGGCUCUAAGGUGAAAAAGCUUGGUGUCUGUGCUGCCUUCUUUAAUCCAAGUCAGGCGAGAGUGCUGUCUCCACUUGCUCCUGUCCACUGCAUUGAGGCCCAUCAGUUUUGAUUUCAGGGACAUCCUAAGAGCCCGUUCUUCGGUUGUCAAGUUUCUGUCUUCUUACGCUAAGUGUAGAUUGAAGAUCACCAUACUGGCAAAAGAUCUGGGAGGCUUUGGCCAUUCAGUAGUUGGAACUGUAUCAUAGCAUGACCGUAUGGGAAAUAUCAUUGAUUCAUUUUGAAGCUAACAGCUGUCACAAGGAUGGAAUCUUUGCUGUCAUCAGAAAUAGACAAAGACCGUCCAUCUCUGUCGGGCAGAACAAAUUUGGCGUUGCAUAUUACAACUGGCGUGCUAACAUGUCUCAAAAUGAUAGAAGUGUAUACCAAGUUCCUGUACAGACUGAUGGACCAAGAGUAGUAGUUCGACGCAUGCAUGCUCCACUUGCUCAGAAGAAACAGCCGAGCCAUUCGGCAGCCCAUCUCCUAACAGUACACAUCUCAUCCCAGGGUUGAAGCUACCAAAGUGCUCUGCAGCAGCAGCUCGGGCCGAUGUGCCAACCCAUUUACUGUACCAGAGACUCGUAAAAUGAAUAUUGCCCCUGGUUAAACUAGCUCGGUCCGUAUUGUGUAACUUCUGGGAUGAGAUCGUGAGUGCUGCUCAU